UUGGCUACUAUCACAGACCAGGACCUUGUUGUUUUUCCUUCUCCCUUUCUCCCUCCCUCCUUCCUCCCCCCCAUCUGUUUAUAGAAAGAGCCAGUUGACAGGUGCACUACCGCCCAAUUCCGUGUGGGGAGAAUUUGCCCUGCAGGCGCCCCAACCUUGGGGUGCCCUGCCAUUAGCUGAUUGUCCUAGGGCUGCUAGCUGGACCCCAUUUGCAUGUCCAGUCUCUCAGGCCUCUGUCCCACACGGGGACACUUUCUCUCUGACACCUGUCCACCAGUAAGUCCAUUGUCCUCAUGCCCAUCUUGUUCCAGAUUCAAAGCUGGCUCCUUUGUAUUUGUUUAAAAAAAGCAGAACUCCAGUCUUAAAAGAAUCAGACAGGCCUGAGCAAGUAUACGCCAGGAGGAAGAGAAGUGCCUUUAAGAGACUCAAUUGAAAACAAAUUAAUCAGGCAGCGAAUAAACACAUUUCUCCCAGGGAUGUUGACUCGCUUUGUAGUUAUUUAAAGAAAGCAAAUUGUUCGUGGGCAAAUUGUCCAAGACAGCUUUUUCCAGGCCCCGGGUGUGUGGCUUGGCUGCCUGCAAGCUCAUUCCCAUCAGCAGACAAUGGCUGGAGAGGAUGGGAGCUCCGUGACUUUCCCUGAAAGGAGUCAAUGGAAGCAGUAAUGAUGUCCCCACUCUGAAGUGAUCCAUGCAAUGUGCCAGGAUGGCGUUACCUGAAGAACGAAUCGAGAGGUGUGUGUCUGUGGAGGAGCUCCCUAUCCUGUGCCUGAAUCACUGACGUGACAGGUGCGCGCUCAGGCCGAUGCUGGCCAGCGCUACAGGCAUGGAAAGGUACAGUACAGAACUGACAUCUGCACCACCCAGUGGAGUCCACGAAUUGGAUAAAAUCUUCUACAAAGAGAGAAUGUUGACUGAGAUGAGAAGCCAAAGACGGGGUCUGCUGAGGGAGGAAGAGCUGGCAGAAGGGAGUGGUCAUUGGCGUAGAAGGAGUCCAGAUGGAGGUGUAACGCAGAAACCUGGAGAAGAACACAUAGCAGGAAGGCGGAACAGGCCAACCAGGUGGCUGAGAAACUCUGUAAGUGGGUAGACGGCUGUUGAUGCUAAGUGUCCAUCCAGUGGAGUGGUGGAAAUGAAACUCCCCUGGAAAGAGCUGAAGAGGGAAUGAGAUAAAUAAACAUAGACCAAGAAGUUAGAUGACUUAGAUUUCUUUCCAGGAAUUUUUCAAUGAAGGGAAACAGGACAGUAACUGAAGGGGACAUUAGGCCGGCGCCGCGGCUCACUAGGCUAAUCCUCCACCUUGCGGCGCCGGCACACCUGGUUCUAGUCCCGGUCGGGGCGCCAGAUUCUGUCCCGGUUGCCCCUCUUCCAGGCCAGCCCUCUGCUGUGGCCAGGGAGUGCAGUGGAGGAUGGCCCAGGUGCUUGGGCCCUGCACCCCAUGGGAGACCAGGAAAAGCACCUGGCUCCUGGCUCCUGCCAUCGGAUCAGCGCGGUGCGCCGGCCGCAGCGCGCUGGCUGUGGCGGCCAUUGGAGGGUGAACCAACGGCAAAGGAAGACCUUUCUCUCUGUCUCUCUCUCUCACUGUCCACUCUGCCUGUCAAAAAAAAAAAAAAAGGUGGGGGGGACAUUGGAUUGUAUUUGGCAGGGGGUGAGGGGUGGGGUGGGGGGUGGUGGUUAGGUGACAUUAAGUCAUCUUUAGACACUGAUGAGAAAGAUCCAGGAGAGGGGCACAGGACAAUGAUCAAUGCAUGAGGAGACGACUGCAGGAUUGACAUCCACUGUAGUUUGGGGAAUAAUCUGGGUGUUCCCCAAGAGCCCAUGUGUUAAAGUCUUGAUACCCAAAGUUUAUGUUAAUGGAUUAAGGAUCAAACUUAGUUGAGUUGUGGUGUUUGAAGGUGAGGCCUUGGAAAGUAACAAGACUGGAUUAGGUCACUAGGGUCGAGGCCCAUGAGCAAAUCCUUGUGACCAUAUAGAGAAAAAACACUUAGCUAUGAGGAUGUGCAGGCUCUCUGACCCUCUCUGCUUUCUGGUUCACCACAUGACCAUCCCUCUGCAGGUGACCCACAACUGCCAUCUUCUACCAGAUGUCAGACUAAUGAGACUGGCAGAUCUUGUCCUGUGAAUCUCCAAAACUGUGAGCCAGAAUCAUAUUCUUUCCUAAGUAGCGUCUUCCAGAUAUUUUAGUCAAGUGAUGAAAAAGCUGACUAAUACCACAUCCUUGAGAGGUGAGAGGGGACUGGAUCCAAAACAUGCACAUAUCUCUCUGCAAGACAGGCGAUUUGCAUGAGCGUUCAGUACAGAACUGACUCAGCAGCUCAGCUGAAGCUUGCAAAAGUAAAGACAGAAAGCAGCAGUGUUCUUUCCCAUCACAGACCAUGAAACCAGUCCUCUCGACGUGCACCUUGCUGCUCCUGCACAAAAUCUCCAGGACUUUGUGUGGGCUUUUGUUCAGUUCCUCUCAGAUGACAAUAACAAAAUCCACUGGUCGUGUUUGGCGCUCUGUAUGUUAUGAAAACCCCAAGACUGACUUAAUUUUUCAUUUCUCGUCUCUCCCAGCCUACUCCAUAGGCAGGGAUUGCCCGUGAGGGAGGUGGAAGGAGAAGUGAUUUUCCUUUCUUGCUGCUUCACCUCACCCACCAGCUACUCUGACUGGUCCUGUCUCGGCCCUUCUGUGCUCGAGGCCUGGUAGUGAGGAAAGCCGUGGGGCAGGAAGGCCUUGUCUGAUUGACGGGUUGACAUUUGGCAUGGACACCCUUCCCAGGCACAGAAUUUCAAUGCCAGUUCUGUCGCUUCUGAAGCAUUUUUAUAGAUCCUUGCACGAUCUCCUGUGGGUGAGAAGCUCUCGAAGCGCAGCUGGAUGCAUGCCUCAUGACUGCUCACAGUCCACACCCAUCUGAGGGGUCAGCCUCCCCCAAGACAGUCCCCUCGGACAGAGUCCAUCCUCGGAUGACCCAGUCUGCUCCUUUCUACGGGAUCCUUAUCUGACUGGGGGGACACACAACUCACGACCAACGAAACUCUCUACUCCAUGGCUCGUGGGCAGCCAGCUAAAGACUUUUCCUUUCCAGAUGUUGUAUGCGUUUCUUCAUACUCCAGGGGACGCACAAUAACGUCUCUGAGAGAGUGGCAGACAGUCCCCUCCCCCACCCACCGCCAGGCUCUCCAAACACAGUCUCAGCGUUGGCAUCACUGAGCCCCUCUGAGUCUCCAUUGCCUGGAGGCGGCAAUGGACUAAUGCCAAGACAGGUACCGCUGUCUCUAAGCCUGAUCUGCAUGGA